rnacentral:vault_RNA from 1 species
GCACUGGUGUAGCUCAGUGGUUACUUCACCAAGAAUCAAUUCUACCGCAGAAUUCGCCUCUUCUCCAUCCCUACUUGGGAUCGAACCACGGGCGCAGUCCAGUGUUUUG